rnacentral:sRNA from 1 species
GCUGGGUGUGGUGGCGCACACCUGUAAUCCCAGCAGUUCGGGAGGCUGAGGCAGGAGGAUCACAAAUUCAAAGCCAGCCUCAG